rnacentral:rRNA from 1 species
GUGGGGAAUAUUGGACAAUGGGCGCAAGCCUGAUCCAGCAAUGCCGCGUGGGUGAAGAAGGUCUUCGGAUCGUAAAGCCCUUUCGACAGGGACGAUGAUGACGGUACCUGUAGAAGAAGCCCCGGCUAACUUCGUGCCAGCAGCCGCGGUAAUACGAAGGGGGCUAGCGUUACUCGGAAUUACUGGGCGUAAAGGGCGCGUAGGCGGCUCUGUUAGUCAGGCGUGAAAUUCCUGGGCUUAACCUGGGGACUGCGCUUGAUACUGCAGGGCUUGAGGCCGAGAGAGGGUAGUGGAAUUCCAGGUGUAGUGGUGAAAUACGUAGAUAUCUGGAGGAACACCGGUGGCGAAGGCGGCUACCUGGUCGAGUACUGACACUGAGACACGAAAGCAUGGGGAUCAAACAGGAUUAGAAACCCCAGUAGUCC